rnacentral:lncRNA from 1 species
UAUUAUUUUGCUUUUAUUUUGCUUUAUAGCUGAAGGAUGUCAGCAGCUCAGAGCACACUUUUCCGUCAACCUUCUCCACUCCAGUGUCUGAAAUCUCUGGUUCUGCCUGUGCCACACAUUUGCUGCUCCAUGAGGUGAAGUGUCACUGCCUCCCAAAUGAAAUGUGUACAUGAAGUGUGAUAUCUGGCUUCUGAGGCCAAUAAAUGCCUUUCCUGGUGGAUGGAUGUUUUAUGUGAGGCCGUGUAUUCCCUCUGAGUUAUGUGGUAUUAUCAAAGAAAACCAGAAAAGUGUAUAUUUUGCAAAGAGACGUGUAAAGCCAGUCUGUGUGCCCUGGAAACCUCAUGGAUUCAGCAGGCAAGCAAGAAAUGGCUGUAAGAACUACUGGCUACUGUACAGGAAGAUUUAA